GUAGUUUCUUACGGUGUUAGAAAGUAAUGUCAUGUAAAUAAGAUAUAAGAGAAUUUGGCUCUUCUGGUUUCUAGAGUUGCUUUACUUGGGAUUGUGGAACAGGUUUUUCCAUUCUCAGUAGGAUAACCUGGCAUUGUUUGUGUCAGAGAGAAGACAGUUGUGACAAUCUGGAAGGACAGGAAAGAUGAGAGGAGUUGAAAGCCUUGGAGAGAAAGAUGAGGAGGCUGGAGUGUGACAGUGAACUCUGAUCCCCUUCCCUCAUUGCUUAGAAGCACUUACCAUGCUCUGCUUUGCCUAAAGAAACCCCUUGUUUCAGUUAAACACUUUGGAACGCCUCUCCUGUGCAUCGCAUCGAGCUGGGUGCGAGGGGAAUUACAAAAGAAUUAUCCAUGAAGGCUUCUUCCUCUAGAUGUUUACCCUCCAGCUGGGUCUCUGAUGCAUAGGCCGUGAAAGGAGUGGGUGGACGUCUAAGUGCCCCAAGAGUGGUGGAGGCAGGAGAGAGAAAAGAGUGCAGAAGUAGGGAGAGACCCUGGGGAGCCAUGCAGUUGCUGCAGCCUGAAGCCCUGGUAGUUAAGGACCCCUAGAGAACUCGUUUGCAUAUUCUUUUGCCAGAGAGUGCAGGGAUGCUGUCGGGCUAGGUUAGGACCCAGGGUUGGGUGCCGGGAAAUGACCCUGGCGUGUUUUCAAGUGGCAAACGAGGAGACCCUGUGAAAGUACCAGAGCCUUUUUACCCCAUCUUUUUAUUUUGAAAGCUUGAAACCUUUAGCAAAACAGUCCCGUAAGCACACAUAUAUCCUUGUAGAUGAAACAGUCGUUAACAUUUUGCCGUGCUUUCCCUCAUGCUCACUGUAUGUGUGUGUUUUGAAUCAAAUGUGGUAAGCAAAUUUAUAAUGUUUUGCCUCACCACUUGAAUAUAAGUUUCAGAUACCGUGACAUUUCACGUCUAAAUACCUGCUAAAGGGGACCUUCUUCUAAUUAAAGCUAAUAACCGCACUACAAUGAUCACACCUAAGAAGUUUAGCAUUGAUAUAAUAACAUGGUCAAAUAUAUACAAAAUAUUUUAAUUUGGGAGUGGAAUGUGUAUUUAUUUUUGUUUUUAAAAUCAGGAAGACUUAUCUGGCACAGUGUGUGUUGAAUGAACUGGUGGGACAAGACACAAACUGGUUUGUAUAUAUUUAAAAAGUCACGUAUAGUCAUAAAAAUAGAAAGAGGUUCACUAUUUUCUUGAACAUAUUCAUGAUCUCUUCAUGAUACAAUCUUAAGUAAGAACAAGACAUGGGAGAGUGUCAAAAAGAGAAUUUAUAGGGGCUCCCGAGUGGCUCAGUCGGUUAAGUGUCUGACUCUUGAUUUUAGGUCAAUAUAUGUAAUUUACAUUGCAUAUAUAUAUAUGCUGCCUUUGAUGAUAAAAGAGAAGUGUGUUUAAAAAGCUGCUAAGAGAAAAUGAGUGUUUAGGACUAAUGUCUUUUUUCUUUAAAGGCAGAUUCUUGGGUUUUAUUGCUGAUUGUAUGAAGGUUAACAACCUUUUUGAGAAUAUACCAGAAAUCUGUUUUAUUGGUAAAUUUUUUCCAUUUGAUAGCAAUUUGAUUAUUUCAUGUGAUGAUUUUUAUAGAAUCGUAUAGUGAAUUUGUGUGAUACUUAUCUUUAAAAAAUAACUUUUUUGCAGUGUUUUGAAAUACAUUGCAUGAAAGGUUAAAAUUAAUUUUGGAGUUAACUCAGCCACAGUUUAUUUUCUGUUGUUGUAUGAUUAACAAAGUUAUUGAUUGGUACUUAGUGCCUUUUUCUUUUGAAGGCCAGUGUUUAUUAAUUAGUGAGUGUUGAAUUGCUCCCAGUGUCCAUUAGGCAUCCUGUGGUUAAUAAAGACAGAUAGCCUGCUCUUGAUAGAUGCUUCUGGAAAGUUAACUUGUCAACAGUGGUAGUUAAAUUCCUGUCAGGGAGGGAAGCCCCUGAUUGCUGGGACAAGCCUUCAAGAGGAAAGGAACUCCAGGCUGCUUAAUCAGGCACCUAGGGUGUGACUUUGCAGAUGAAGAAAUCUGAUUUUGCUAGUUCAUUCAGAGUUGAUGGGGAAUGUGAGACUGAAUGAAGCCUGCCAAACAAGCUUACAGGAGACUGAACUUCCAUGUGUUAAUUUGCAGUGGGAGAUGUACUAUGGCCAGCUGUAAAUUUGUUGAAAGGAUGACAUUUGGAUCAUAACUUUACUUGGUGAACAUAGAAAUAAGAUGGGGGGGGCAAAUUAGAUAUUUUCAAUUGCUAUUUCCAUCAAGUCAUUAGAAUUUGAUAGAGGACUUUUCAUUUAUUUGUUACCCCAGGGGCUAUUCUUUUUAGAAACUGGGGACUGGGGUACCUGGGUGGCUCAGUUGGUUCAGUGUCUGACUUUUGAUUUUGGCUCAGAUCAUGAUCCCAGGGUUGUGGGAUCGAGCCCUGUGUUGGGCUCCAUACUUGCUUAAGAUAUGCGCCGCACCCCCCCCCCCCCCCCCCCCCCCAAGCUUCAGAGUCUGGGUGGCUCCGACUCUGGAUAUUGGCUCACAGUCUUUCAGUCCUGGGAUGGAGCUCUGCUGUUGCUUGGGAUUCUCUCUCCCUCUCUCUUCCUCUCCCCCGGCUUGGGUGCACACUUGUGCACUCUUGUUCUCUCUCUCUCUCUCUCUCAAAAAUAAAUAACCUUUAAAAAAAAAAAGAUUCUCUCUCUCUCUCCCUCUGCCAAUCGCACGUGCGCGUGUGCACGCGCUUGCUUGCUCUCUGUCUCUAAAAUCAACAACAACAACAACAAACCCAAAACAAAACUGGGGCCUAAAAUUAGAGCCUCUUUAGUAUAGUGUGGUGCUAGAUAAGAACAGGAUGAAUUCUUUUCCAGUUCCCUUUGUAAUCAGUUACCAAAGGCCCCAUAGCCUUAUUUAUGCCGGGUACAUUAUAAUACAGUAGGGAGACAUAAUAAUAAUAGUGAGUGCUUAGCACGUGUUGGGCAUUUUACUAAAAUAUUUUUCUUCUGUAAUUCCAUUAAUCCCGUAAUAGCCCUAGGAAAUAGGCACUAUUAUCAUUCCCACUUCAUAGACGAGAAAAUCGAAGUUUAGGAAAGCUUGGGGCUUAGAGCCCAAGUUCCAAGCCAGGUGGCCUGACUCUGGAGACGCUUACGAUCUUAGCUUACGAUAGAAUUUCUUUUGCACAUUGCAACUUCUUUCCAGUUGUGUUUUCCUUAGGCUAUAGCGUGGUCAUUUUGAGACCCCUUAUCUCCCAAGUGAACACGUAGGAAAUGUAGUUAAUGUUAAAAUAUUUAAGCACUAACUCUUAGGGUAGUUUUUUGUUUUGUUUUGUUUUGUUUUUUUAAGAUGCUGAUUUUAAUCUAUGAUAAUUCUGAAUAGUUUCAUUUGGAGGAUGGACCAUUAAAAAUUUAAAAGGUUGCAAAAACCCCCAAACAUAAUGCAAAGAAAAGCUAUUUUUAGUUCACCUGUUAACAUUUGGUGCCUAUUUUCUUGCUCUCUGUAUUUAUGUAUAUAUGUGUGUGUUACGUGUAUAUUUUUUUUUCUGAGUCAUUUGGGAUGUUACAUAUUGCAUGACCCUUUAUCUCUAUUUCAGUGGGCAUUUCCUAAGAACAGAGAUUUUUGGUUAUAUACAGUUACUACCUCAUAAAUUUAUGUUGUUAAAUUAGUUUCAUCUAAUCUGCUAUACAUAUUGUGAUUUUAUCAGUUCUCCUAAUGAGGUCCUUUUUAAAAUAUAUUUUCUUAAAGUUUAUUUAUUUUGAGAGAGAGAAAAUGGAGGAGGGGCAGAGAGAGAGGCAGAGAGAGAUAAUCCCAAACAGGCUUCACGCUGACAGCUCCAGGCAUUAACUCAUGAAUUGUGAGAUCAUGACCUGAGCCCAAGUCGGACGUGCAACCGACUGAGCCACCCACGUGCCCCCUAGUAAGGUCCUUUGUAAUAUUUUUUCCCCCUGUGGUAGGAGAUCCUGUCUAGGGUUAUAUGUCGUAUUUAGUUGUCGUAUCUGUUUAUAUCCUUUAAUUUGGAAUAUUUCUACAAUUUCUUUUUUUUUUUUAGAUUGACAUUUUUGAAGAAGAUAAUCAUGCCUGUCCUUUUUUUUUUUUUUAAUAAUAGAAAUUUUUUCAUUGUGUGUUUGUGUGAUGUUUCCUCAUCUUUAGAAUCAGGUUAUGGGCCAGAACUUACCUUUUCCCCUUCUUAAUAAGUUUAUUGUUUUUAAAAAUCAGGAAAUUAACACUCAUGUAAUAAUAUUAUCUAAGUACAGACCUUACCAGAUCAUACGUUACAUCUAGUCUUAUUUUAUCUGGAACGGUUUCCCUGUCUGACUUUCAUGGCAUUGACAUUUUUGGAGAGUAUUAGCCAAUUAUUUCUAGAAUGUUCUUCAAUUUUGGUUUGUUUGAAGUUUCCUCUUGGUUAGAGUCAGGUUUUGCACUUUUGGCAGAAAUGCUGCACAAGGGACAUUGUGUUUUCCUCAGUGCGUCAUACUUGGAGUCACAUGAUGUCUGUCCCACUGCUGGUGAUACUCAUUUUGCUUAUUUGGUUAAGGUUCUGUCUGUUAGGUUUGCCCAGCGUAAAGCUACUCUUUCCCUCUUUACAGACAAUAACUAUCUUGUGGAGUGAUGUUUUUAGUUAAUGUCCUAAUUACUCCUCAAACUUUUACUCAUAGGCUUUAGAAUCCUUGGGUGACUCUUGCCUGAACUGGUUAUUCUUAUGAUGCCCACUGGUGAUUUAACAUGCCAUCAUUCCCGGGGCGCCUGGGUGGCUCAGUCAGUUGAGCGUCUGACUUCAGCUCAGGUCAUGAUCCUCACGGUUCGUGAGUUCGAGCCCCGUGUCGGGCUCUGUGCUGAUGGCUCAGAGCCUGGAGCCUGCUUCAGAUUCUGCGUCUCCCCCUCUCUCUGCUCCUCCCCCGCUCGUGUUCUGUCUCUCUCUCUCCUUCAAAAAUAAAUAAAAACAUUAAAAAAAAAAUGCCAUCAUUCCCUCUUCAUUUAUUUUUUUCUUCCACAAAGAAGAGUGUUCCCUUAACUCUUGUUUAUUUAUAUUGGUGUUGACUCAUGGAUUUUUACUGUAUUCUUAUUUUAUAUUAUCCUUACUUAUUGCGUUGCUGAAAUUGUUCUGGAUUUGGCCAGUGGGAGCUCCUUCACGCAGGCUCCUAGGCCCUUUUGACACUGUCAUUUUUGGGCACAUCCUUCCUUUCUGGCACAGAACAGUCCUUGUGUACUUUCUCCGUGUCAGCCCUGGAAGUGGCCACUUCUCCAUUCUUCCUGUAUGAGAAUCCCUGUUUCUCCAAAGCAUAACUGUUUGCUUUUUGCCAAUGUGGUGGGUGAGCAAUAGCAAUUCAGUGUAGUUUUAACUUCUGUGUCUUUUACGAAUUGAAUUGGACGUCUUUUCCUGUGUUUAAGGGAUAUGUAUGUGUAUGUAUAUGUGUGUAUGUAAUCAUGUUUUUGGCCCAUGUUUCUGCCAAGUUACUAGUAUUUAAUUCUUCAAUUUCAAGAGUUCUUUAUAUAUUAUGAUAUUAGCCCUUUAUCUCAUUUUAUUUAUUGCCUUUGGUUAAUGAUGUUUUUUUCUUGUCAUGCAGAUUUUAUUAAACAUUUUGGUGUAAGCGUA